rnacentral:rRNA from 1 species
UUGGAGGGCAAGUCUGGUGCCAGCAGCCGCGGUAAUUCCAGCUCCAAUAGCGUAUAUUAAAGUUGUUGCAGUUAAAAAGCUCGUAGUUGAAUUUCGGGGUCAGUAGAUUGGUCGUGCCACUGGUAUGUACUGGUCUUACUGGCUCCUCCUUCCUGAUGAACCGUAAUGCCAUUAAUUUGGUGUUGCGGGGAGACUGGACUGUUACUUUGAAAAAAUUAGAGUGUUUAAAGCAGGCUAACGCUUGAAUACAUUAGCAUGGAAUAAUGAAAUAGGACGUUCGAUCUUAUUUUGUUGGUUUCUAGGAUUGACGUAAUGAUUAAUAGGGAUAGUUGGGGGCAUUAGUAUUCAAUUGUCAGAGGUGAAAUUCUUGGAUUUAUUGAAGACUAACUACUGCGAAAGCAUUUGCCAAGGAUGUUUUCAUUAAUCAAGAACGAAAGUUAGGGGAUCGAAGACGAUCAGAUACCGUCGUAGUCUUAACCAUAAACUAUGCCGACUAGGGAUCGGAUGAUGUUAAUUUUUUAAUGACUCAUUCGGCGCCUUACGGGAAACA